ensembl:lncRNA
AAGCAAAGCUCCACGAGCUUUUCCGCUCCGGCUCUCCUCCUCCCGUUCUGCACAGGGCCCUCUCUCCCAGGAGGAGUCAGCAGUGGAUUUGCUGUUAGCAAUUGCUUUCGCUCCAGCUUUGCCGAUAUCCUUCAAAGAGAAUCGCUGCUCGGGAGGAAGAGCUGUGAGUUUAAUCAGGCUGUUUAUCCCUUCAAAGUGAGCGUUUCGCUUGGAGUAAAUAGGAGAGCACAGUGGGCUCAGCCAUGCAGGGCUCAUCCCAGGGACCUUCUGCUAACGGUGCAGAGGGAGCGGUGGGGGAGAGAGGUACAGACAGGGGUUUGGGUUAAGGUUUGGGUUGGUUUGGGUUUGGGUUGGUUUGGGUUGGUUUGGGUUUGAGUUGGUUUGGGUUUGGGUUGGUUUGGGUUUGAGUAUGGGUUUGAGUUUGGGUUUGGGUUGGUUUCAGUUUGGGUUUGGGAUUGGGUUGGUUUGGGUUUGGGUUUGGGUUUGGGUUUGGGUAUGGAUUUGAGUUUGGGUUUGGGUUGGUUUGGGUUUGGGUUGGGUUUGGGUUUCAGUUUGGGUUUGGGUUGGUUUGGGUUUGAGUUCGUGUUUGGGUUUGAGUUGUGGUUUGAGUUUACUUUGAGUUUGGGUUAGGCUUUGGGUUUGGGUUUGAGUUUGGCUUUGGGUUUGGCUGUGGCUUAAGGUUUGUGUUUGUGUUUGGCUUAGGGUUUGGCUUAGAAUUUGGGUUUGGGUUUGGCUUGGGGUAAGAGUUAGGGUGAGAGACAGGAUGUGGCCUUAUGAUGGCUGGGGGUGGGCAGGAGGACUCUGGGGAGGCAAUCGGUCCGCCUGCCUUCCCCCCUCACUCUGUGCCCUGUGCUGAUGGAGUCAAGGUGCAGCGCUUAAACUGCUGAUGCUGGCGCUUGCACAGGACCUUGUGUAUGAG